GGGUGCUUGGCGGAGGACGCGAACGUUGAUGCCCUUGUCCAGCCCCGGAGCAAAAUGAGCACCAUCCGUCCGCGUCGCCCCCGGACCUCUCUGUGCAGAAAUAACUGCGUGCCCCCUCGGUAGCCACAGCCAUUCACGGUUUUCUAGGAUUUCGAGUGCAAAGCCUAGUGAUAGGAAGUGCGCUGAAUGUCUUAGAUGGAAGUUUUUCAUUUAAUCCUGAGUACCUUACCAGAUCGCACGUGGAAGUGCUUGCCGUUCAUUCCCCUUGUCUUUCCGUAUGGCCUCCGUCUUUUCCUGUCUGACUUGGCAGUCCCUUCCCAGGCCGGCUAUGCUGCAGAUGGCAGAAUUCCGUUCUUUUUACGGCUGAGCAAUAUUCCAUCGAACUCUGCUGCAAAAUUACACGGCAGAAAGAAGAACCGAGUCAGCAAAAGAGGGAGGAAACCAAUGGGAGGAAUCGCGGGGACCCGUCUUUGAAACUCGCGACACCGCUGAGACUGAAUUCCAUUAGCCCGGUUUCUGCCAUUUCCCUGAGCUGGCGGCGUCUUUAGUAAUCUGGCCCUUUCCUGGAACGUGGCACCUGACACUCCUUCCUCACCUUCCUCCCCGAGGACACGGUGGGCUCAGGGCACCCUCUGUGUGACAGGUGCCAGGGCGAGGUCAUCAGGAUGGCACAGGCCCGCCCGCAGGGUGGUGGGCGCGGCUGAGGGCGGUGCUCCUGGCUGCCCCCAACCCUGCUCCCUGGAGGUGCGGGAGGGGAGGUGGAGGCCACACGGACAGACCAGCGUUCUCUCAAGGCUUCCAUUCCUGCCGUCGCCCUCCGCCCUG
ensembl:lncRNA